UCCCAUGUGGUCCAAUGGUUAGGAUUCGGCGCUCUCACCGCCGCGGCCGGGGUUCAAUUCCCCGCAUGGGAG
rfam:Intoshia linei isolate Intl2013 Contig_6129, whole genome shotgun sequence.